GUGAGUGUAGCUCAGUUGGUUAGAGCACCGGAUUGUGGUUCCGGAUGUCGCGGGUUCGAACCCCGUCACUCACCCC
rnacentral:tRNA from 1 species